rnacentral:lncRNA from 1 species
CGGCUAAUUUUUGUAUUUUUAGUAGAGACGGGGUUUCACCAGGUUGGGCAGGCUGGUCUCGAAUUGCUGACCUCAAGUGAUCUGCCCGCCUCGGCCUCCCAAAGUGCUGGGAAUCCAGGUGUGAGCCACCACGCCUGGACACGCCCAGCUAGCCACCAUGCCCAGCUAAUGUUUGUAUUUUUUGUAGACAUGGGUUUCACCAUGUUGGCCAGGCUUGCCUCAAACUCCUGACCUCAAGUGAUUCACCCACCUGGGCCUCCCAAAUUUCUGUGAUUACUGGGAUUACAGGUGUGAGCCACUGUGUCCAGCCUAUUCCCUUUUAUUUUCAUUUCCCAGUCCCGUUCUCUGCUAAUCCUGAAAUUUUCUUUUUUUUUUUUGAGAUGGAGUUUCACUCUGUUGCCCAGGCUGAUCUUGGCUCACUGCAACCUCUGCCUCCUGGGAUUUCAAGCAAUUCUCCUGUCUCAGCCUCCGGAGUAG